GGGGGCGGGGCCGGUAACUUGCCAGUAAGGCAAGGGACGCUACCUGUUAGUUGGUGUCUACAGAACAGACCCGUUUUUCUACGGUGAUCAGUUGAAGAAUAUCGUCAUCUGUUGAAAUGAACCAGUGCCCUUGACUUCUUAGAAGAGGUGAAGGGAAAUGAUCACAAAUCACGUUACUUUUCAGUGUAUCACCUGACUUCAUGAAAUGUUGACAGAUAGCCAAGACAUAGUGAUUCAACAGUUGGAAUACAAUAAAAUGAUUACAUGUCAUCCCGAGAAAGAUCUGUAAGAAAGAAGAGGAAGAGAAGAAAGGCGAGGGUGUAUGGAUUUUUUAUGUUGAUUACAACAAGGCCUUCCAUGAGCAGCAGAAUAUCUCAUUAAAAAAACCCCUGGGGCUUCCCUGGUGGCGCAUCGGUUGAGAGUCCGCCUGCCGAUGCAGGGGACACGGGUUCGUGCCCCGG